GUGAACGCCCUCACGGGCUCAUACUGUUCCAAACCUCUGUGAACCGUGCCCUUCGGGGCUAUUUUACAAACAUGGUGUAAUGAACGUCAUAUAUCAUAACAAAACA
rnacentral:misc_RNA from 1 species